rnacentral:rRNA from 1 species
UACGGAGGGUGCAAGCGUUAAUCGGAAUUAUUGGGCGUAAAGCGCGUGUAGGCGGCUUUGUAAGUCGGGUGUGAAAGCCCUCGGCUCAACCGAGGAAGUGCGCCCGAAACUGUGAAGCUUGAGUACCGGAGAGGAUGGCGGAAUUCCCCAAGUAGAGGUGAAAUUCGUAGAUAUGGGGAGGAACACCGGUGGCGAAGGCGGCCAUCUGGACGGAUACUGGCGCUGAGACGCGAAAGCGUGGGUAGCAAACAGG